AAAAAAAAAAAUACAUGGUCAAGAGAAAUAAUAUUUCAAGCUCAAUCCAAUAAGUCCAAACAAAUAACAACUUAACAAUAGACCCAAGUCCAAAUAAACAAUAUGCAAUUGAUAUAAUCCAAAUAUCCCCAAAUUAAUCAUCAAAUACAAUAUACCCACAAACCCAAAUUAACAAAUUUCAAAUUGAUUCACUAAUAAUAAAUUAAAUCAAAUUACGUAUUAAUCUACCAAUAAAAAAUUAACCCCAAAUUUCAUAUUAAUUCAAUAAUCCAAAUUUCAC
rnacentral:lncRNA from 1 species